rnacentral:rRNA from 1 species
GGUUCUUCGGAACCAGAGACCGGCGCACGGGUGCGUAACGCGUAUGCAAUCUACCUUUUACAGAGGGAUAGCCCAGAGAAAUUUGGAUUAAUACCUCAUAGUAUAGCUGAACCGCAUGGUUCUACUAUUAAAGUCACAACGGUAAAAGAUGAGCAUGCGUCCCAUUAGCUAGUUGGUAAGGUAACGGCUUACCAAGGCUACGAUGGGUAGGGGUCCUGAGAGGGAGAUCCCCCACACUGGUACUGAGACACGGACCAGACUCCUACGGGAGGCAGCAGUGAGGAAUAUUGGACAAUGGGCGCAAGCCUGAUCCAGCCAUGCCGCGUGCAGGAUGACGGUCCUAUGGAUUGUAAACUGCUUUUAUACGAGAAGAAACACUCCUUCGUGAAGGAGCUUGACGGUAUCGUAAGAAUAAGGAUCGGCUAACUCCGUGCCAGCAGCCGCGGUAAUACGGAGGAUCCAAGCGUUAUCCGGAAUCAUUGGGUUUAAAGGGUCCGUAGGCGGUUUAGUAAGUCAGUGGUGAAAGCCCAUCGCUCAACGGUGGAACGGCCAUUGAUACUGCUAAACUUGAAUUAUUAGGAAGUAACUAGAAUAUGUAGUGUAGCGGUGAAAUGCUUAGAGAUUACAUGGAAUACCAAUUGCGAAGGCAGGUUACUACUAAUGGAUUGACGCUGAUGGACGAAAGCGUGGGUAGCGAACAGGAUUAGAUACCCUGGUAGUCCACGCCGUAAACGAUGGAUACUAGCUGUUGGAAGCAAUUUCAGUGGCUAAGCGAAAGUGAUAAGU